CUACGAAUCAGAGAAGCAGCCAUGUUUCCAGGAUUCAUGCGAAAGCCAGACAAGACUGCAGCAUUGAAGGAGCUCAAAACUCACGUCGCCAUGUUCGGGACAUGGGUCGUUGUUGUUCGUCUCACCCCUUACAUUCUUCACUUUCUCAAUCGCGAAAGCGAGGAACUCAAGCUCGAGCUUUAGAUUCGCAUAAUAUGAGUGGUCUUGAGAAGGAUACUUGCUUGGGUUCUGGAGGAACUUCAUCAAAUAAUGUUUUUCUGUAACCCUUAAAAUUGUGUGGAGAUGAUACAU